GCAUAGUUCAGUUGGUAGAGCAUGAGACUCCUAAUCUCAGGGUCUUGGGUUCAAGCCCCAUGUUGGGCA
rnacentral:tRNA from 1 species